CCCUUAGAUGUUCUGGGCCGCACACGCGCUACACUGAAGGAGGCAGCGUGUACUCCUGGAUCGAAAGAUUUGGGUAACCCGCGAAUCUCCUUCGUGCUAGGGAUUGAGGUUUGCAAUUAUCCUUCAUGAACGAGGAAUUCCCAGUAAGUGCAAGUCAUAAGCUUGCGCUGACUACGUCCCUGCCCUUUGUACACACCGCCCGUCGCUACUACCGAUUGAAUGAUUUAGUGAGGACUUCGGACUGGGACCGAUGCGGCUUUCGGGCUGCGUCGGUAUUCUGGAAAGAUGUCCAAACUGUNUNAUUUACNGGAAGUAAAANUCGUANCA
rnacentral:rRNA from 1 species